rnacentral:rRNA from 1 species
GACGAACGCUGGCGGCGUGCCUAAUACAUGCAAGUAGAACGCUGAAGGAGGAGCUUACUUCUCCGGAUGAGUUGCGAACGGGUGAGUAACGCGUAGGUAACCUGCCUGGUAGCGGGGGAUAACUAUUGGAAACGAUAGCUAAUACCGCAUAACAGUAGAUAUUGCAUGAUAUCUGCUUGAAAGGGGCAAUUGCUCCACUACCAGAUGGACCUGCGUUGUAUUAGCUAGUUGGUGAGGUAACGGCUCACCAAGGCGACGAUACAUAGCCGACCUGAGAGGGUGAUCGGCCACACUGGGACUGAGACACGGCCCAGACUCCUACGGGAGGCAGCAGUAGGGAAUCUUCGGCAAUGGACGGAAGUCUGACCGAGCAACGCCGCGUGAGUGAAGAAGGUUUUCGGAUCGUAAAGCUCUGUUGUAAGAGAAGAACGAGUGUGAGAGUGGAAAGUUCACACUGUGACGGUAACUUACCAGAAAGGGACGGCUAACUACGUGCCAGCAGCCGCGGUAAUACGUAGGUCCCGAGCGUUAUCCGGAUUUAUUGGGCGUAAAGCGAGCGCAUGCGGUUAGAUAAGUCUGAAGUAAAGGCUGUGGCUUAACCAUAGUACGCUUUGGAACUGUUUAACUUGAGUGCAGAAGGGAGAGUGGAAUUCCAUGUGUAGCGGUGAAAUGCGUAUAUAUAUGGAGGAACACCGGUGGCGAAAGCUGCUCUCUGUGCUGUAACUGACGCUGAGGCUCGAAAGCGUGGGAGCAACAGG